GCGUGCAGGAUGAAGGCCUUCGGGUUGUAAACUGCUUUUGUACGGAGCGAAACGGCCUUUUCUAAUACAAAAGGCUAAUGACGGUACCGUAAGAAUAAGCACCGGCUAACUACGUGCCAGCAGCCGCGGUAAUACGUAGGGUGCGAGCGUUAAUCGGAAUUACUGGGCGUAAAGCGUGCGCAGGCGGUUUUGUAAGACAGAUGUGAAAUCCCCGGGCUCAACCUGGGACCUGCAUUUGUGACUGCAAGGCUAGAGUACGGUAGAGGGGGAUGGAAUUCCGCGUGUAGCAGUGAAAUGCGU
rnacentral:rRNA from 1 species